UACGUAGGGACCGAGCGUUGUCCGGAUUCAUUGGGCGUAAAGGGCUCGUAGGCGGCCACUCAAGUCGAAUGUGAAACCUCGAGGCUCAACCUCGAGCCUGCAUUCGAUACUGGGCGGCUAGAGUCUGGUAGGGGGAUCUGGAAUUCCUGGUGUAGCGGUGGAAUGCGCAGAUAUCAGGAGGAACACCGGUGGCGAAGGCGGGAUCCUGGGCCAGUACUGACGCUGAUGAGCGAAAGCGUGGGGAGCAAACAGG
rnacentral:rRNA from 1 species